AUUGAACGCUGGCGGCAGGCUUAACACAUGCAAGUCGAGCGGGGUGAUGGUGCUUGCACUAUCACUUAGCGGCGGACGGGUGAGUAAUGCUUAGGAAUCUGCCUAUUAGUGGGGGACAACAUCUCGAAAGGGAGGCUAAUACCGCAUACGUCCUACGGGAGAAAGCAGGGGAUCACUUGUGACCUUGCGCUAAUAGAUGAGCCUAAGUCGGAUUAGCUAGUUGGUUGGGUAAAGGCCUACCAAGGCGACGAUCUGUAGCGGGUCUGAGAGGAUGAUCCGCCACACUGGGACUGAGACACGGCCCAGACUCCUACGGGAGGCAGCAGUGGGGAAUAUUGGACAAUGGGGGGAACCCUGAUCCAGCCAUGCCGCGUGUGUGAAGAAGGCCUUAUGGUUGUAAAGCACUUUAAGCGAGGAGGAGGCUCUUUUGGUUAAUACCCAAGAUGAGUGGACGUUACUCGCAGAAUAAGCACCGGCUAACUCUGUGCCAGCCGCCGCAGUAA
rnacentral:rRNA from 1 species